rnacentral:rRNA from 1 species
UACAGAGGGGGCAAGCGUUGUUCGGAAUUACUGGGCGUAAAGGGCGCGUAGGCGGCCUUCUAAGUCGAACGUGAAAUCCCCGGGCUCAACCCGGGAACUGCGUCCGAUACUGGAAGGCUUGAAUCCGGGAGAGGGAUGCGGAAUUCCAGGUGUAGCGGUGAAAUGCGUAGAUAUCGAGAGGAACACCUGCGGCGAAGGCGGGUUGCUGGGCCGACACUGACGCUGAGGCGCGAAAGCCAGGGGAGCGAACGGG